GCUGCGGUAGCUCAAUGGCAGAGCAUCGGAUUGUCGAUCCGAAAGAUGUCGGUUCAAGCCCGAUCCACAGCGCCA
rnacentral:tRNA from 1 species